ACCAGAGCGCCAGGAAUCGGUGUGACAUCAACCCACUGAUUUCCAUGGAAAACUUGGAGGCCACCAAGUUGAUCUUGUAAGAGAACAGUAAAGAAACUACUGUCAGAAUGAGCACUUGUGCCAAAAGUGAGUUCUGGCUCAGGGCAAGGUGGGUAAUAAUGGGAAAUUAGGAAAAGUCCUUCUGCACAAUCUAUGUCUUUAAGGUAAUUGGAAUUAAGGCCUAAUGCUUCAGAAAGCAAUUCAAGCAGAAUCAUCCCCACUUUGUUGACAUAGUCAGAGUACUUAACUGUUAUAUCUCUGCAUGUAAAUAAGUUAAAUAUAUCAAAAUCUGAAUGUUUGUAUAUUUUAAGUUAAAUUCAAGGUUUGUACCUAAUUUUGAGUAGAAGCACAAGACCAACCAUUGUACUGUAGUAAUGAUUCAUUUUAAAGAAAAUAUGUAAGGGAUCCAUGCAUUAUGAACAAAUGAAUUUGAUUGUAAUAACUUAUUCAGGUAGAUGUAAAGCUAAAUAAGUAUUACUAGACAGUUUUGACAACAUUAUAUAAAUAAAUUUCUAAAUUUUUUAGUAAAAGUUUGUGCCUAACUUUGUAAACAAAAAUUUCUUAAAAGUCUUCGUGAGCUUAACUCAUGGUUCGAAUUUCGGAUCCUCCACUUACUCACCUUAAAAUGUGAAUUUCUCGGAUCCUCUACUUAUUCACCUUAAGAUGUGAAUUUCUAACCCCUAAACUACUUGAUUAAAAAAGUAUCAGAGAGUACAUGAUAAAUAUACCUGCAAACUGUAGGCAGAUCCUGAGGAUCAAGAGGCUGAGGACCCAUAACACAAGAAAGACUAUCCCUCCAAUUAACAGCAGGAGUAACAUACAAAUCAAAAUUGGUAUUAAAAUAAGCUCUUUUAGUAAUAUCACGAGAAUAAAACUUUUUCUUCAUUUCAGUGUCUUGUUCAUGAAAUCUGACCACUCCAUCAAUCAUUUCAUCCAAAACAGUAGAUGGAAUACCAUGGUUGACCACUUGAAAGAACCCCCACUUUUCACUUGCAUGCUUUACUUUCUCAAUUAUCUCUAAACGUGAACUUGAACUUGUGUUGGUAAAUAAAGGACCAAAAUCUAUGAUUGGAAUACUAAGAUUGGUUGAACUGGUUUGUUUGUUGUUAUGUUCAUGAAUCUUAUCAUGAAUGAAAAUCUUUGGGACUUUGGUCAAACCAGCAUCUACAAGUCCUUUUACACCUUCUUUUGAUUCAUCAAGAAGCUUUAACUCUUUCUGUCUAUCAUAAACAUGUUCAUGUUCUUGUUUGAUUUCUUCUAGAUUUGUGUUCACCAUGCUAUGCUUUCUUUCACUGCUUUUUUCUCUAUAACAACUCAACAGAUAAGAUAUCUGUCUUUGGCUUUUUGGGAAGUUGUACAAUAAUGUCUGGAAAAUAAGUACACUCUCCAAUUUUGAAAAUAAGCCAAAAAAAGAAAGAUAUUAAGGUUACGGUGACAUUGAUGAUUUUAAUAUAUUUUUGAUAGAAGACAAUGAUAUAUGAAUGACUAAAAUAAGUUAUUUUGAUGAAAAAGAAUGAUCGGUUAGGAGAGAGAAGAGACAACUUCAUCAAUAUUAUCAAAAUUCAAUGUCACCUAAGUACCUAAACAAUAAUCGAUACCAAUUAUCAAUAAUUUAUUUGAUUACUUCACAACCAUCUCAUCUAAGCGCUCUUGGGUGUGUGUGCCCUCUUUUAAUUUAACAUUAACGGUACUAUGAAAUUAUAAUUUACUAAAAUUAUUAUUCGCUCUUUGAUUUAUAUAUUUUAUUUUUAUUUUAUGUGAUGGAACGAGUCUCUUCUAGCUUAAUCAAGGUCCUGAGUUCGAAUCCAGCCUUGGGCAUGCAGCAGCGUUAAAACUCUUAGGGAGAGCCUGCCGCCCAUUUAGGUCCCACAAUGCUCGAGGGAUUAAUCUCUGCGGGAUACCCGGUUUAUACCAGGAAAAAAAGAGGGCACACACUAACAUGUGUUCUUGGGAUACAUAUUGAUGAACUCAAAAUAGAAAUAUUCAUUUAACAACUUAUCCUUUAGACUAAUCGAACGGUGGUUACAGAGCAAGAGAGAUCACAAGAGACAAAUGGGCAGAAGAUGAUCUGAUUUUUUUUUUUUGAUAGGGCAAGAGCAAAAUGACAUCAAAGAGAGUGACUCCCAACCAAGUUGGUACCCAACUCUAAUCAAUUGUCAAUUGUUCAUAUAUAUAUAUUAUUAAAAAAAAGGGAAAAAAUUACAAAAAAAAUUGGGGGGACAUAAAACCUAACCCAAUCGAUCCAUGUGAAUCAACCAUAACAGGUAAUACAUCAAAGAAGAACAACACAGUGGAUCCAACCCUAAUCAAUUCUAAGAAACGAACACCAUAACAAUAAACGUUUGUGAGUACCAAGAGGGUCUAUAAUUUGGCGAAUGAUGCGAUCGUCAACACGAAAUCGGAUCACAUACCAUCAACUCCAUGCAAAAAAUCGCAGCAAGCAUUAAUGACUGUUUCGAGUUCACACAGUCCCAAGUCAAACAUAAGGACACAUAAUGACUGUUUUGAGUGUGCAAAGCUUCUAAAUUGGCGUAUGAAUCGUCUGUCAACACAUAAUGAUUCAAGGACCAGCCAAAGUACAAAAAUUACAAAUUCAUCCUUGAAUUUGCAAGGACCAUCCAAAUUCGUCCCCCGAUUUAUCUAAAUAUCAAAUUCAUCCAUGAAUUUGGCAAAUGUCAAUCAAUUUAGUCCAUUCAUCAAGUUGUGGUGUUAAAGGUGUUGACGUGGUCUGUUAACCUCUCCCAAGGCUUGCCAUGUCAGAUGUCACACAAGCAGAGAUUAAUUUUGUAGAAAGUGACAAAAUUGCCAAGGGCGAAAUUGAUUGAUUUGAAGAAAAUUGAAACCCUGAUUUGCAGAAAAAUGGUCGUCAUACAACGACUUUUCUUCCCCAAAUCUAUAAAAUUGGAACCCCAAUUUUACAAUCUGUAAUCUAGAGUUCAAAAUUCCAAAAAUUUCUUCCAUUAAUUGAUGACAACGUUCUUCCCCAAUUCUAAAAAUUUCAAAACCUAAUUAAUUGAAAGAACCCCACUUUUCACUUGCAUGCUUUACUUUCUCAAUUAUCUCUAAACGUGAACUUGAACUUGUGUGGUAAAUAAAGGUCCAAAGUCUAUGAUUGGAAUACUAAGAUUGGUUGAACUGGUUUGUUUGUUGUUAUGUUCAUGAACCUUAUCAUGAAUGAAAAUCUUUGGGAAUUUGGUCAAACCAGCAUCAACAAGUCCUUUUACACCUUCUUUUGAUUCAUCAAGAAGCAUUAACUCUUUGUGUCUAUCAUAAACAUGUUCACGGUCUUGUUUGAUUUCUUCUAGAUUUGUGUUCCCCAUGUUUGAGUUUCUUUCUUGGACAACAAAACAACAGAUGAGAUAUUUGUCUUUUGUUUUUUUGGGAAAUUGUACAAUGAUGUCUAGAAAAUAAGUAUAAUCCAAUGUUGAAGAUAAGUCAAAAAAAGAAAGAACUAAAGGACACAUGAGAAAGAAAAAAGAAAUUCUUGGGUGACAUUAAAAUUUGAUGAUAUCAAUGACUUUAAUGUAUUUUUUUUUUGAAAAAGAAUGAUAUAUGAACGAUUAAAAUAAGAGUGGUUAUACGUUGAUUACCAUAAGUGGCACACAUCUUUUUUACCGCCAUACAUGGAUGUGUCAUGUGGCCAUGUGAGCCUCACCACCCCACCUAAUACUGUCUUUUACAUGAGGUGAAAUUACGAAAAUGUCUUUUCACAUGAAAUGUAUAAUGGAGGUAGGUGAAGAAAUGGUGUCAAUAUAACAUUAUUGUUAAAAUAAAUUAUUUUGAUAAGAUAGAAUGAUAUGUUGGAAGAGAGAUAAAGACAAAGCCAUUAAUUUCAUCAAAACUCAAUGUCACUUAAGUGAAACCCAAAAAAUAACGAGAUUGUCAAUGAUUAACGUUAAAUUAGUAAAUUAAAAAAUAGAAAUAAAAAUUAUAAACCAAAGGUAGAAUAAUAAUUUUAGUAAAUUAAAAUAUCAAAGCACUAUGGAUGUACUCAUUGCAAUCAUUAAUGUUAAAUUAAAAGAGGAUAAAUGCUAACAUGUGUUCUUAAGAUACAUGUUAAUGAACUCAAUAAAGAAAUAUUUAUCUAAAUACUAAUCCUUCGGAUUAAUUGAACAAUGGGUAAGAAAACAUGAGAGAUCACAAGAGACAAAUAGAUAGGAGAUGAUCCGAGUCUAAAAACGAUUAACUAUUUACCCAUCUUUUUUUAAGAAUAACUAUUUACCCAUCUUAAAAUUACAAAAAUUACUAACAAAAAUAUAAAGUUGACCAAAUUGACCAUUAAUGCGUGCUAGCAUUUUCCUAAAAAGUUGGCCAAAUUGUCCAAUGCCACACGGAGGUGUAGAGUGGUGGUAUGCAACGUAAGGUGGUCUAUCUAUCACUAGUCAUAGUUUUCCAAGCAUUUUCUUGAAUAAAAAAUAAAUUUGGUCAACUAAAUAGAAAAGAUAGAUAGUAGGUUCUAACUUUUUGAGAUUUUAUUUCCAAACACUCACAAAGUAUACAUAGUAGGUGCAAACUUUUUGGAUUCUAAAAUGGUUGUCCUAUGAAUCAAUCUAAUCUUUAUAUGGUAGAUUCUAUUAGAAUUUGAAUUACUGCAUAUUGAAAUUGCUGUUAUUUGAAUCAUAUGGAAGAUUCCAUUUGAAUUCAUAUUACUGCAGCAAGAUUAUUUUUAUGGCCAUGUGCUGUAAUUUCAUUUGCAGCAGCAAUAUUAUUUGUUCUAUAACCUUUAACAAUUGUGCUAGUUAUUUAUACCGAAAAUCUUUAUAAUUUAGAAUAAUUUCUUGGAUAAUCUCCACUACAUGCUGUAUUAGUGAUCAUGCUCUUAUCAUUUUAUUGCAGUUCUAGCGAUUCGGGCUGCAAUAUUAAACUUUUGACUUAGAAAUCGUGGUUGAGUCUAACACAAUCCCACAAAACCGGCUUGUGAGGUGAGAAUUUUUCCCACUUAUAAACACAUAUUCAUGCCUUAUUAUGUUCGAUGAUGCAGGACUCUUUAAUAUUUUGGUUGUAUCUGUGAUUGCAAUUAAGGCUGAAUCAUCUGCAGUUAAUCACAGUUCUCUGCAAAGUAAAAAAUUGCGACAUUACUGUUAUCAUGUCUGCAAUUUAAAACUUUAGACUACAUAAACUUUAGAGUUCUUACUCUUCAAUAUUUAAAAUUUUAUGCCAAAUGUUGUUAUUAGAAAAAUAAAGUAAUUACAUGGAAACUAAAAUUUCAGUCUCAUAAGACCAAGAUUGUAGAGUUUACAAACGAGACAUGUCGAAUCUCUCACGAUUACACCUUUCAAGCAAAUUUCCAUUCCUAUCAGCCAAUUUCUUCAUUCCUCUUGCUGUUCAGCCUGAAUUCUGAAGUGAUCUAGUGCAGAAUUACCAUCUAGCCCUUUUCCAUAUAGUUUUGAGACCAAGCCCUUUACUGAUGUUUCCUUGUAAAGUGGAGGAUUCUCUGGUGUGAGCAACUCUGCUAUAGGUCCAUAUAGUUUUGUAUUUUCAGGGGGAAGAUGCUGCCUGAAAAAGCAUGCUACUGAAACUCUUGGACCAAUGCUUUGCGCCAGAACUCUGUGUUUAACGCUUAGAAACUUAUCGUUUGUGAUUAUCUGCAAAGAAAGUGUUUAGACAUUGAAGGACAAUUUUAAUUAGCUUCAAUCUCAUUAAAUUUACUAGUUGAUGAUUUUACGUUUUGCUUCUAAAGAACUUAAAACUUCUUUUAUAAAGUAUACUAGUAGAAACGAAACUGCGUAGAACCACAUGUACUAAAAAAUGUCUAGUUAUAAAUAUAAAUUUCUACCUGCAUCAUGUCACCGAGGUUAACGACCAAAGCGCCAGGAAUCGGUGUGACAUCAACCCACUGAUUUUCAUGGAAAACUUGGAGGCCACCAAGUUGAUCUUGUAAGAGAACAGUGAGGAAGCUACUGUCAGAAUGAGCACUAGCACCAAUAGUCAAUUCAGGCUCAGGGCAAGGUGGGUAAUAAUGGGAAAUUAGGAAAAGGCCUUCUACACAAUCUAUGUCUUUAAGGUAAUUGGAAUUGAGGCCUAAUGCUUCUGAAAGCAAUUCAAAUAAAAUCGUCCCCACUUUCUUAACAUACUCAGAGUACGUCGUUGUU
rnacentral:lncRNA from 1 species